rnacentral:rRNA from 1 species
ACUCCUACGGAAGGCAGCAGUAGGGAAUAUUGCGCAAUGGGCGAAAGCCUGACGCAGCGAUGCCGCGUGAGUGACGAAGGUCUUAGGAUUGUAAAGCUCUUUUCUGAGGGAAGAAUAGGUCUGGUAGGAAAUGACUGGAUUCUGACGGUACCUGCAGAAGAAGCACCGGCUAACUCCGUGCCAGCAGCCGCGGUAAU